rfam:Myotis brandtii contig293890, whole genome shotgun sequence.
GGUGGUUUGUGGGUGACAAACCCUGGAAUUGAGUUCCCUCCUUUCUGGUUCUGGUGUGCAUCAUCCAAGAACCACC